UGGCGGCAAUAGCGCGGUGGUCCCACCUGACCCCAUGCCGAACUCAGAAGUGAAACGCCGUAGCGCCGAUGGUAGUGUGGGGUCUCCCCAUG
rnacentral:rRNA from 1 species